CUGAAAUCUCACUAAUACGGAGAACUCCAAAGAAGGAAGUAAAAAAAGCCACCAUGAACAACGAGGUCUCAUAUUGCAAGGAGCAUACCUUAGCGACCGGAGGAAGCGGGGGCGGGGCCUCAACGUUGAGUCGCUCUGCAAUGAUGUCAGAGUGGCGAGCCGGCUCUGCACUCCUAAAAGGAUAGGCAGCGCAGACCGGAUCAGUUGAUUGAAGAUCCGGAUGAGAGUCAGCAGGCAUUUCCAGGCACCUCUUGAGCCACGUUUCUCCUCCAGAUGAUUCCGCUCUGCAGAUAACUUCCCUGAGGAGUUCUUCCAUGUCGGAGUCUUCAGAUUCCAGUCCGGGUCUCGUCGCUGCCGUUAUCUGAAUGCGUACCAACUGUCAUUCGCUCUCUUUUAUAGGUACUCACGAGCCAGCUUGGAUUACCUCCUAUCAGGUGAAGAUCUUUCCCGCACGAGUUCUGCAGACUGCACCACUUGGCAUCUGUUACCAGGAGAAUAAUAAUUCCUCCAGUAGGCUGAUAGUCUGGGACACAGCCAAGGCAGUCCUGAGAGGACUUCUGUUCAAAAAGG